CGUAUAAGUCCAUUGCAUACUGGAACCGGGUGGUCCCUGUAUUAAGCCUAUGGGAGUGAGAGAAUUCAGUAGUCCACGGGUUAACAACAUAAUACCCGCGAGGCUAGACUAGACUGCGCGCGCUGGCGCUAGCGCGCUCGCUGCUUAUAAUGCAGUAAUAGCGUAUGCCAGGCGGCCAUGCCAUGCCAGGCCUUGUACGUAUACUCGCACAAACUGAGAAGAUUUAGUUCAUUGAGAAUGGAUGGAAACUGAUGAAGAGCUGGAAGGAGCUAACUGAUGAGUAGACAUUACAACAUUUCUUAUAUUUUCAAGAUGAAGCUGAAAGUCCCAUGCAGGAUGAUGCUUCUCUACAGGGGAUGAUGAAAGCAUGCUGAUUACAAACCCAGGAGAGGAAUAAAGAACAGAUAUUGACAGAAUCAUAUCUAGAGAUGUGGGCCUACUGCACUUCAUACAAGCAAGUGUGCUAAUAUACCAUACUUGGGUUAUCAUCACAGCCCUUUCUUCUGAAAACUAGCCUACAACUUCAUCGUUGAAUGCAGAAGACAUCUACAUGGGACUACGUUUUAAAGAUGCCCCCUCAUAUAAUGAAAGAGGACAGUAGAGAUGGGUUUAAUCUUGAAUAUUUACAUACUAUUUAUUUAUUAUUUGUAUUAUAUGUUUGUAGAA